AUUAGCUUUGUCUGAAAGGGGCAAGACAGUGCAAAAUGAUGAAAGGCCUUUGAACUUUCAACCUUCUACAGGCAGGAAACAGGAUACAGAGGCUGAGCCUCAAACAUGAGGUAUUUUUAUGGAAAAGGAAGCGUGACCCAGGCAGAAUCAAGAUCUCAAAAGACACAGCAAGGGGCCAUGGUGAAUUAUCCCCAGGAGCAGAUUGAGAGUGCCAAUUGUUUUAAAUUAUGUGUGUCUCACAAUUUUAUGUUGUGUGUGGAGAAGUGGGAGGAGAGAACUUGUCUCUUCCCUUCGCAUCUUCUUCUCUCAAUCUUCUCUCUUCUCUCUUCAAUCUUCAAUCUUCUCUCAAUCUUCUUCAGAUUGAGAGAAACUACACACUUCAGGAAGGACGUUUAAGGACGCUCCUCUGUACCGUGACUGAUUUAAGUGAGGGUAUCUGGAUUUCAAGGAGGUGUUGCAGUUGGAUGAGACUUUGGGAGUCAUAGGGGAGGUGGGUGUAUUUUUCAUGUGUGAGGGAAAAUGAAUUGUUGAGGCCAUAGGGUAGACUGCAGUGUUUUUUCUCCGACAUGGCUGCCGUCCUUCCUUCUUUCCCUCUGUGAGUAUGCUGCACCAUCAUCAAGAGAUAGAGUCUAUUUCUCCCUUCUUGUGAAUCUUGGCUUGUUUUACUGGCUUUCUUGACUAAUAGAACGUAGAAGUGAUGUGCUGGAAUUUUCAAGGCUAGUUCAUAAGUAAUCUCCCAGCUUCUGUCUUGGGCUCUUGGAGCCCUGAGUCACCUUGUACGAUGUACAAGCACUCUGCUAGAGAGACUAUGUGGAAAAACCCUGAGACAGUAUGUGGAGAGAUAAAGAACCAGCUAAGUCCUGCCUCCUAGCUAUCCCCACCAUUGUGCCACACAUGAGUGCAGCUGUCUUGGAUCAGUCCAGCCCAGCCCAGCCACCUAGUGAAUACUUCUGAGUGAUCCCAGUUGAUGCUGUGUGGAGCAGAAAAAAUCACUCAGGCAUGCCCUGCCUGAAUUCCUAACCUGAAAACUAUGAAGAAACCAAAGCCAGAGAGAUUAGGUCAGCUAUUCAAUGUCACUGAGGAAGUAGCAGAACCAGAAUCCUACAUCUAGGUCCUGCACCCAGGCUCUGGACAGCAACACUUACAUCUGCAAUGACCCUAAGAUGCAAAUGGUACAGCCAUUGUUUUACAAAAGAAGAAAAUGAGGCACAAGAAGAGGAAUGGGCCUGCCCACGAUUAUCCAGGAAUCGGGCCAGAUCAGAAUCAAGAAUCAUGUCAAGCUGGAAGCCCUUGGAGGGCUUCUAUCUAAUCCCACUAUUUAGUGGCCAGGGAAACUGCUGCACAGAAGGGAAAUGCAUCUUGCACAAUGGCAACAGCUAGAGAGCAUGGAGGGGCUGUGAUUAAACCUCCUGGGAGCUGUUCCCACCCAACACUCACAAGGAUCCUCAGCCCUUAGGGUUUUUUUCCCAAGAGACGGGGCUGUCCCCACAAUGCUCUGUGGUCCCAGACACAAGAAUAGGCUGAUGCUCCUGCAGUCAGCUUACCUGCCGUCUGGGUCACUAAUGGUGUCCCAGUUCUGGGCUCUUGCUGUCAGGGGCUUUAGAGACGCUCAUCUCUCCUUGAAAGCAGGGGUUUGUGCUGCUUUAAAGUAGAUGGAGGAGGUGGGAAGUGAAAAGACACCUCUUUUAACUUCAGAUAGACCUGGGAUCUAAUCUGACUCUGUCACUUUCCAGGUGUAUGAGCCAGGACAAGUCAUUCAUCUCCCUGGUCCUCAUUUUGCCUCAUACAUAAAGUGAUGUUUAUGUAUGAGAAUUUAGUGAAAUAAGUCUCAACACCAAACCUUACAUCAAAAGGAUCUGAGAGGGCAACUCUUUUGAGGGAGGGGUUGGCAGGUGUUGCAAAUUCAAAGGCUUCAGGUGAUAGGCCAGUGAGGAAUACAUGUUUCAUACCCGGGGCUGAGACAAUAGGGAGUGGUGGGGCCUGUGGCUGAACCAGCGAGAGCAGGCUCUGCCGAGCAAUGGUCAAAGUCAACGUCAUCCACAGCAACACAGAACCUGCCCUGCCCCACAGUGAUCCUUCUACUCCAGAUAUGCCCAGGCUUCGGACCACCAGCCUGCAGCCCCCUAGGUAGAACCUGCCGUCUUCACAGAUGGGAAAACUGAGGUCCUAGCUGAGGAGAAUAUGCCCGGCAGCCACAUUGUUAACUACUAGUCACAAAACCAAAACCAUCAUCUUAACAAAAUACAAAGAAAAAGGUGUCCUUGAAUUUGGGAAAUGAAAAACUGGAGAAAAAAAGCUGGAAAUAACAAAUAUUGAGAUUCUU
rnacentral:lncRNA from 1 species